GCCAGCGUGGCAUAGUGGGUUGAGCAUUGGACUACGACUCUCGAGACCAGAGUUCGAGUCACUGCUCAGCCA